CAAACAUGGGCCCUGACUGCCUGUCGUUUGCUAUCGCAAGUAACUAAACGAAUUAGCGCGAAGGUUGACUGUGAUUUAUGCACGGCCGUCAUAUCCAGGGAAUUACAAAUGCGCGUGCUUAGUUACGCUGCUGGAAAUUUAUGCACAUGUGCAGAGUUGAACACAAAAAAGGCAUGGUGUGGAUGCACCUUAAAAGUUAGUUAUUCAAAAUAACCUUUGACGCACUUGUCCUCAGAGUUGGAUUUGCAUUCAGAUUGAAGAUAGACCGUUAUGUUUGUUAAUGAUGGAGCUAGACACAUUGUUUAGGAUGCCAGUACUAAACACUCUGUACACAAACUAGAUAAUAAUUUUGGAUCAGGAAUGCUACCCUGAUAUGUCAGAGCUCCACUACUUUUCACUCCAAGAUGUCACCCAAUAUGAUGUGUUAUUUGACAAUUUCCAGGCAGUCUUCUGAACUUCAGGUAACUUGAAUGUAGCUUGGGGCAACGUACACUGGUAAGCCAAAAUGUUGUGGCCACUGCCCACAACAAGAUUGGAUGUUUCUUGGUGGCAUUAUGGGCCCGUGACGCAGUAACAAAAAUAUGUAAGUGGAGCAGAUACUGAUGGGAGAACACCAUAGUGAAGAUAUGGGAUGCAAAUGGGGAAACUGACAGCUACAAACCACCUGCAUCCCUUCAUGCUUAAUGUCUUCCCCAGUGGUGAUGUUCUCUUUCAGUAGUACAAUUGUGUGUGCCUCGGAGCCAGAACCAUGCUACAGUGGUUUGAGGAGCAUUAUAGUGAACUCACGUUGAUGUCUCAGUGACCAAAUUUGCCUGAUGUAAAUCCUAUGGAAUUACAUGACCUGUGUGUAUAUCUUUAAUGCCACAUAGCUCCACAAACCUGCCAACAAACUAUCGGAUGCCUCCACAAAAUUUUGGGCGAACUGCCGGAUGUUUGCAACUUCCUGCCACAAUAUUUUGGUGCAGAGUCUUCUGGCCAUCUUCAGGUGAUACUGGCGAAAACUCCCUGGGCUCUGGUAUUUAAGGCCCCUCCGGCCCAUGUGUGGUGGAUUCAAUUGGCGUUGCGCAUGCGCUACUUGAGUGCAUCUGAUUCUGCUGUGCCGCGCACCCUCCCUGGUGAACACUCACCGCAUCAAUAUCAAUUCGAUUGUCUUCCUGCAGUUCCAUCACAGAACUACGCCAGCUACAGAGGACAUGAAGUUUUUCGACGAUUGGAUUCCACGCCGAAUUCAGUUGGAAACCGUCGUCAUGAUUAAUAAAUACGAGGGUGAAGAAGGCGAGUAUGCCCCUGAUGUUCUAUGAUGCGAUCGUGGAAGUAUGAAUCAUUUGCCCUAUGUAAGAUUUGCCACAUUCACACAGAAUUCUGUAAACAACUGCCUUGCGCAGCUCUAGGUCGUCUUUGACAGAUGCCAACAGUGCCGAAAUUUUUGCAGGAGGGCGAAAGAUUACUUUCACUUUAUAUUUUCUUAGUAUUCCGCUUAUUUGCGCUGAAAUAUUACCGGUAUAUGGUAAUGGAGAGAGAGCUGCAGACCAGAGGAGAGCGCUGCAGACCUGUGAACGAUGGAACAAAGAAGAGGAAGAGGCCUUUAAAACAACUGCCAAUUUACUAUAUAUUGGUAAUAUUGUCUCUGUACUUUAUAUUGAAACAAAAGUUUCUCAAGGUUCAUGACAGUUAUUGCGCUUUAUGUAAGAACAAGAACAUUUAUAAGGAUUAGGCAUCUGAAUCAGUAAGCAAAGUUGUAAACCAUGAAGAAAUGUGCCAGGAGGAGGAAGCAGCUAUGGAUUGCAUCUUCAUCUGGUAAACAGCAAUAGAAAUCUGGAACACACUAUGUUAAUACAUGCUUUGUCAUCAUAUGAAUGUUAUUUUCAGCUUAAUUACCACUUAUUCAGUCAUAAUGUGUAAUUCAUCUGCCAUGCCACUUGUUCUAAUUUGUCCACCUGUGUACGGAACCAAACUGAAAGUGAAAUGAAUGAAUAAAACACCAGAGCACCU